rnacentral:rRNA from 1 species
GCGCGAAACCUUUAACCUAAUAGCACGAAAAGUAGUGGAUAAGGCAACUCCUUGUGCUUAUCCAAAAGAAUAGGCUUUUUAGUUAUGUAAUGUAUACUAAGAAUAAGUGAUGGGCGAAGACCGGUGCCAGCAGCCGCGGUAAUACCGGCGUCACAAGUGGAGAUCACGAAUUACUGGGUCGUAAAGUAGUUCGUAGCUGGUCAUAUAAGUCUCUUGUGAAAGCUCUGUAGCUUAACUCAGAAUUGCAAGAGAUACUGUAUGACUUGAGACCGGAAGAGGUGUAAAGUAUGGAUUGGGUAGCGGUAAAAU